rnacentral:rRNA from 1 species
UACGUAGGGCGCAAGCGUUUGUCCGGAAUUAUUGGGCGUAAAGAGCUCGUAGGCGGCUUGUCACGUCGGGGUGUGAAAGACCGGGGCUUAACCCCGGUUCUGCAUUCGAUACGGGCUGGCUAGAGUGUGGUAGGGGAGAUCGGAAUUCCUGGUGUAGCGGUGAAAUGCGCAGAUAUCAGGAGGAACACCGGUGGCGAAGGCGGAUCUCUGGGCCAUUACUGACGUGAGGAGCGAAAAGCGUGGGGGAGCGAACAGG